rnacentral:rRNA from 1 species
GACGAACGCUGGCGGCGUGCCUAAUACAUGCCAGUAGAACGCUGAAGGUGGAGCUUGCUUCUCCGGAUGAGUUGCGCACGGGUGAGUAACGCGUAGGUAACCUGCCUGGUAGCGGGGGAUAACUAUUGGAAACGAUAGCUAAUACCGCAUAACAAUAGAUGUUGCCUGACAUUUGCUUCAAAGGUGCAAUUGACACACUUCUCGUUGCACCUGCGUUGUAUUAGCUAGUUGGUGUGGUAACGGCUCACAAAGGUGACGAUACAUAGCCGACCUGAGAGGGUAAUCGGCCACACUGGGACUGAGACACGGCCCAUACUCCUACGGGAGGCAGCAGGAGGGGAUCUUCGGCAAUGGACGGAAGUCUGACCGAGCAACGCCGCGUGAGUGAAGAAGGUUUUCGGAUCGUAAAGCUCUGUUGUAAGAGAAGAACGAGUGUGAGAGUGGAGAGUUCACACGGUGACGGUAUCUUACCAGAAAGGGACGGCUAACUACGUG